AGAGUGCAAGCAUACGCGAGUUGGGAAGGGGCAGAGAAAGAGGGAGAGAGAGAAUCCCAAGCAGGCUCUGUACUGUCAGGGUGAAGCCUGACCUCAAUGCAACAAACUCUGAGAUCAUGACCUAAGCUGAAAUCAAGAGUCGGACAUUUAACCGACUGAACCACCCUGGCAUCCUGUAAGAUUUUUAUUUUUGAGUAAUUUCUGUACCCAGUGUCGGGCUCCCACUCACAACCCUGAGAUCAAGAGUCCCACACUUCAUUGACUAAGACAGCCAGGUGUCCCCAUUCACAUAUGUAGAUUCUGAUAACUACAAUCAUCAGGGUACCGAACUUUUCUAUCUUCACAAAGAAACUCUUAUGCUAACCUUUCUAUAACCUUCUCCAUAUUUCUAACCACUGGCAACCACUGGGGCAACCACUGACCUAUUCUUCAUCUGUAUAAUUCUGUCAUUUCAAGAAUGUUAUAGAAGUGGAGUUAUAAAGUAUACAACCUUUCGAAAUUGGCUUUUUUUUACGCAGCAUAAUGGCCGCGAGAUCCCUUCCUGCAUCAACAGUUUGUUGCAUGUAUCAUGUUGUUCCUUUUCAUUGUUGAGUAGUAGUCCAUAGUAUGGGUGCGCCACAGUAUAUCCAUUCACUUUUCAUAGGACAUUUGGAUUGUUUCCACUUUUCGGCUAUACAAAUAGAGCUACUACUAUAAACAUUCAUGUACGGAUUUCUUACGUGGAUGUGUGUUUUCAUUUCUCUAGGAUAAAUACCCAGGAGUAUCGUUGCCAAGUCUUAUGGCUGGGGAAUCAGUAGCAAUGUUAAUGAGUGAAAGAAAAGAAUGCUAGAAACAGCCGCAGGCUGACAUCAAAGAAAUGAACUUCAGCCCUGUGAUUGUCAUGUGGAAGGCCUGGAAAUACACGCGAACAUCUGUGAAAUCAAAUCAAAACGCAGACAGGCUUUUGGCCUCCCUACUCCACGCUUCCAGAUAGGAUUUGGAUGCGCAGUUCCUUAACAAAAUAAAAAUGAAGGACCAUGUCAA